rnacentral:rRNA from 1 species
AUUGAACGCUGGCGGCAUGCUUUACACAUGCAAGUCGAACGGUAACAGGCCGCAAGGUGCUGACGAGUGGCGAACGGGUGAGUAAUGCAUCGGAACGUGCCCAGUCGUGGGGGAUAACUACUCGAAAGAGUAGCUAAUACCGCAUACGAUCUAUGGAUGAAAGCGGGGGACCGUAAGGCCUCGCGCGAUUGGAGCGGCCGAUGUCAGAUUAGGUAGUUGGUGGGGUAAAGGCUCACCAAGCCAACGAUCUGUAGCUGGUCUGAGAGGACAACCAGCCACACUGGGACUGAGACACGGCCCAGACUCCUACGGGAGGCAGCAGUGGGGAAUUUUGGACAAUGGGCGCAAGCCUGAUCCAGCAAUGCCGCGUGCAGGAAGAAGGCCUUCGGGUUGUAAACUGCUUUUGUACGGAACGAAACGGCUCUGGUUAAUACCCGGGGCUAAUGACGGUACCGUAAGGAUAAGCACCGGCUAACUACGUG